CACUAUUGCUGAUGCCAAAAAGUGCUUGCUGACAGGAGCAUGAUAUAGCUGUCUCCUGAGAAGCUCUAUUAGAGCAUGACAAACACGGAGGCAGAUGCCUGCAGCAAACCACCACUGGACUGAGAAUCGGGUCCCCAAUAGACGCGUUAGAAAAAGAUCUGAAGUAGCUAAAGGGGUUUACAACACCAUUGGAAGAACAACAAUAUCAGCCAACCAGACCCCCAAGAGCUCCCAGGGACUAAACCACCAACCAAAGAAUACCCAUGGAAUGACCUGUGGCUCCAUCCACAUAUGUAGCAGAGGAUGGCCUUGUUGGGCAUGAAUGGAAAGAGAGACCAUUGAUCCUGUGAAGGUUCGAUUCCCCAGUGUAGGGGAAUGUCAGUGCAGGUAGGCAGGAAGGGGUGUGUGAAUGGGUACCAGAACACCCUCACAGAAGCAUGAGGAGGAGGAAUCGGAUAGAGGGUUUCCGGAGGGGAAACCAGGAAAAGGGGAAAACAUUUGAAAUGUAACUAAAGAAAAUGUCCAAUAAAAAAAGGAAGAAAAUAGAAACCGAGGACUAUGGAAACUCUCAUCAUGUGGCAGCCUCAAAGGUUUCAUGGUUUGUUUAUUUGGUUUUUUGUUAUUAUGUAACAUGUGUAAACUAUACAUUGUUCAUAGCUCCUUCAACACUUACUGAGUUCUGUAGAUAGGAAAAUAAAUAAAACUUGGACAGUGACAAGCUGGAGCCAGCCCUCAAUUGCUCAUUAGAACGGACUGUUAAAUUUUCAGGUUUUUUUUUUCUUUUCUUUUUUUUUUAACCAUUCUGGCAGCUAGAAAUCUACCAACACCACAAGUCAGGUCUGACUAGUUUGCUUUUUUCAGAUAAUCAGUCAUUCGGCAUUUGGACACUAUCCCUGACAAAAGGACACUCACAGUCCAGAAAUUGAAAUCAGGGUCAUAAUCUUUACAGACUAAUCUUGACUGUCAGAUUGACUAGAUUUGGAGCCAUGUAGAGGACACAGCUCUGGGUGCAUUUGGGAAGGUAUAUAACUGAGGAGAGAAGCUCCUUGGAUACGGAUAACAGAGUACCAUGACUUUGAGUCUCAGAGAGAGCAAAAGGGGAACGGGAGAAAGAGCUGAACUCCCACCUUGGCUAUUUUCUGAUAUGAAAUGUAGCUUAAUUGACUUCCUCAUACUCCUGUUACUGUGUAUAUGUCACUCGAAGCUGGUUUGCACCCUAUCCUGACUCAAAGUGAACCCUCUGGUAAGUUGUAAGGAAAACAACUGACUCCAUUUAAGUCACACAUAGUCUGGAAGAUGAGUUUUAUAUAUUUGUAGCUUUUCAUAGAGAUAGCAAAAAUUUCCUCUUGAACCAGAAUCAACCUAACAACGUCCCAAAACAUAAAAGUAAAAUUGUAUCCUUUUUGCUUCACACAAUACAGCAUGUGGAUUAAUGAACUUGAAGAUGUGAACUUUAGUAAGACCUGCAGAUCAAAGGUUUGUAAACUUUAGUAAGAGCUACAGAUCAGUUUGUGUUUCUUCCAAUGACACUGCGAGGCUAGAUAGUAACGGAAAGUAAAACCUUUAGGAAUUAGGUGUCAGGUACAAAGACAUGACUAAUUCAUGACUGGGCAGUACCCUUAUUAAAGAGACCCAGAAAGAACCCUACCACCACUGCCCUUCUAGUGAGAAUAGUGAACUCUUAAACAGGUGAUAGAAUCCUGAAAGACCUAGGACCUGCUAGUCUUACCACUUUGGACUCUCCAGAAUGAGAAAACCCUGUUGUUCAUAUAUAAUCCAGAUGACGGGAGUAGCAGCCUGUACUGAUGUACAGUAAAAAUAACUAGAAUCAGACACUGUAUUUAGCAACAAUAAAGGCUGUAGAGUUCAAUACGGAAGAAAUUAUCUUUACUAGUGAAUGUUCGCAACGUCUUAGGAAGAUGCUCCAUUGGGUAGGUUUAAAUUCUGGAAAUAUUUCUCCAAGAGAAAGAGUAGGAUGGGAAUCCCAGGAAAAGAGCACACCAUGAGAGAACAUUGGUAGCCAGGACUGUUUUUCAAACACCCAAUGGUUUCAUGUCAAACUAUCCUGAAGGAAAAAAUCACUUCUCAAGGAGGUUAGAAACCAAAAAUGAGGGCUGGGAAUUUCAAGCUAAAGCUGUCAUUUGGAAGCUCAUUGACAUUUUAAAAUGUAAUUUUCUGCCCAAAUCAGAAGAUGUGGAGUAUGAACUUGGAGACCCACUAAACAGCCACAGAGCAGAAUGUAUACUGUUAUCUGCAUCAUUGUACCUUCCUGACUUGUUACAGCACCCAGGAUAUUGUGACUUUUUUUUUGUUUGAAAUUGGUAGCUAAAUUUAUGUCAUUGGUUUUUUUCUUUUUUUUUAGUUAAAAAUAGAAUACUUUAUUGAGAAAUGGUUACAAAUAGAAUGAAGAACUGUUACUGUUUGACUGAAAACAACAACAAAAAAGUUAAUGAGUAGAAUUUUAAAGGUAUAGGUAAGGCAAGUUCCAAGUCAAGAUAAAACACUUCUUUCUAAAAAUCCUAGUACUUCAGAUCAGAGCAGCCUGCUGCUCCAUUAAAUAGAGAGUGCCUACCUCUAGAUACUUCUGGGUCUGGUAUGCUACUGUUGAGGAUACAAAGGAUCCAACACAUGCACUGAAGCAGAAGGACUAAGUAGCACCUAAGGCUACUUCCCACCUAGACAUGUGUCCUGUAGCAUCUUGUUCACCAUCUUCUACAAUAUGGGGCUUGGCCUUUCACUUCCCAUGGCAUUUCUUCUCAUACUUAUCCAUUCCGAUUUCAGCUUUCCUGAGAAUGAACCUAAAAUCUGUAAGUUCUCUACAUGAGCCUCACGCUCCAGGUAAAUAUACUGAAGUGUAUUGUACAUAUAUGACAAAACUAACCUCUUAUGACAUUGAAGCAUGGACCAAAGAUCCUGCAAUGGUUAAUAUUAGCUACCAGUCUGAUCAGUCUAGAAUCAUCUAAGAUACAUGCUUCUGUGGAUGUCUGUGAGGAAUUGUCAAGAUUUGGUGAAUUGAAGUGGGAAGCAAUAACCUAUAUAUAUGAUGUAAAAACCUGCUACAAGUUGCUGCCACUGUGCCCUCCUCACUAUGAUGGACCUGUGAAAGGAACUUCAGAGAUGGAAAUGGAGAGGAGCCUGAGGAAAAGAAGAUUCACAACAGACCCAAGGUAUGAUCCAGCUCAAGGGGAGGCCUCAAGGCCUGACACUCGUACUGUGGGCAUGGGACACACACAAAAAGGGGCCUAUCAUGACUGCCUUCUAAAAGACCCAAUA
rnacentral:sRNA from 1 species